rnacentral:rRNA from 1 species
GACGAACGCUGGCGGCGUGCUUAACACAUGCAAGUCGAGCGAAUGGAUUAAGAGCUUGCUCUUAUGAAGUUAGCGGCGGACGGGUGAGUAACACGUGGGUAACCUGCACAUAAGACUGGGAUAACUACGGGAAACCGGGGCUAAUACCGGAUAACAUUUUGAACCUCAUGGUUCGAAAUUGAAAGGCGGCUUCGGCUGGCACUUAUGGAUGGAACCGCGUCGCAUUAGCUAGUUGGUGAGGUAACGGCUCACCAAGGCAACGAUGCGUAGCCCACCUGAGAGGGUGAUCGGCCACACUGGGACUGAGACACGGCCCAGACUCCUACGGGAGGCAGCAGUAGGGAAUCUUCCGCAAUGGACGAAAGUCUGACGGAGCAACGCCGCGUGAGUGAUGAAGGCUUUCGGGUCGUAAAACUCUGUUGUUAGGGAAGAACAAGUGCUAGUUGAAUAAGCUGGCACCUUGACGGUACCUAACCAGAAAGCCACGGCUAACUACGUGCCAGCCGCCGCAGUAA